rnacentral:rRNA from 1 species
GAUUAACGCUGGCGGCGUGCAUAACACAUGCAAGUCGAACAAUGAAACUUAAAUGAUUUCUUCGGAAUGAACUUAAGUGGAUUAGUGGCGGACGGGUGAGUAACGCGUGAGUAACCUGCCUUACACAAGGGGAUAGCCGUUGGAAACGACGAAUAAUACCCUAUGAAACUAUCACUUCGCAUGAAGCGAUAGUCAAAGUGUUAGCGGUGUAAGAUGGACUUGCGUCUGAUUAGCUAGUUGGUGAGAAAAAAGCCCACCAAGGCAACGAUCAGUAGCCGGCUUGAGAGAGUGUACGGCCACAUUGGGACUGAGACACGGCCCAGACUCCUACGGGAGGCAGCAGUGGGGAAUUUUGCACAAUGGGGGAAACCCUGAUGCAGCGACGCCGCGUGAUUUAGAAGGCCUUCGGGUUGUAAAAAUCUUUUGUAUAGGAAGAAAAUGACAGUACUAUACGAAUAAGGUCCGGCUAAUUACGUG